GACGAACGCUGGCGGCGUGCUUAACACAUGCAAGUCGAACGGAAAGGCCCUGCUUUUGUGGGGUGCUCGAGUGGCGAACGGGUGAGUAACACGUGAGUAACCUGCCCUUGACUUUGGGAUAACUUCAGGAAACUGGGGCUAAUACCGGAUAGGAGCUCCUGCUGCAUGGUGGGGGUUGGAAAGUUUCGGCGGUUGGGGAUGGACUCGCGGCUUAUCAGCUUGUUGGUGGGGUAGUGGCUUACCAAGGCUUUGACGGGUAGCCGUCCUGAGAGGGUGACCGGCCACAUUGGGACUGAGAUACGGCCCAGACUCCUACGGGAGGCAGCAGUGGGGAAUAUUGCACAAUGGGCGGAAGCCUGAUGCAGCAACGCCGCGUGCGGGAUGAAGGCCUUCGGGUUGUAAACCGCUUUCGCCUGUGACGAAGCGUGAGUGACGGUAAUGGGUAAAGAAGCACCGGCUAACUACGUG
rnacentral:rRNA from 1 species